GACGAUCAGUAGCCGGCCUGAGAGGGUGGACGGCCACAUUGGGACUGAGACACGGCCCAGACUCCUACGGGAGGCAGCAGUGGGGAAUAUUGCACAAUGGGGGAACCCUGAUGCAGCGACGCCGCGUGAGCGAAGAAGUAUCUCGGUAUGUAAAGCUCUAUCAGCAGGGAAGAAGAUGACGGUACCUGAGUAAGAAGCCCCGGCUAACUAC
rnacentral:rRNA from 1 species